rnacentral:rRNA from 1 species
UACGUAGGGUGCGAGCGUUAUUCGGAAUUACUGGGCGUAAAGCGUGCGCAGGCGGUUUUGUAAGACAGAUGUGAAAUCCCCGGGCUUAACCUGGGAACUGCAUUUGUGACUGCAUGGCUGGAGUGCGGCAGAGGGGGAUGGAAUUCCGCGUGUAGCAGUGAAAUGCGUAGAUAUGUGGAGGAACACCGAUGGCGAAGGCAAUCCCCUGGGCCUGCACUGACGCUCAUGCACGAAAGCGUGGGGAGCAAACAGG